UCUUUGCUAGUAUAUCGGAUAGUACAGCCGCCUGUCAUAGGAAUGGUGCCAUCCCACUGAUCGCGGCAGAGCUGGGUUCGACUCCCAGGCAGAGAG